rnacentral:rRNA from 1 species
AGCGAACGCUGGCGGCAGGCUUAACACAUGCAAGUCGAACGCACCGCAAGGGGAGUGGCAGACGGGUGAGUAACACGUGGGAACGUACCCUUUGGUUCGGAAUAACUUGGGGAAACUCAAGCUAAUACCGGAUAAGCCCUUAUGGGGAAAGGUUUACUGCCGAAGGAUCGGCCCGCGUCUGAUUAGCUAGUUGGUGAGGUAAUGGCUCACCAAGGCGACGAUCAGUAGCUGGUCUGAGAGGAUGAUCGGCCACACUGGGACUGAGACACGGCCCAGACUCCUACGGGAGACAGCAGUGGGGAAUAGUGGACAAUGGGGGCAACCCUGAUCCAGCCAUGCCGCGUGAGUGAUGAAGGCCUUAGGGUUGUAAAGCUCUUUUACCCGGGACGAUAAUGACUGUACCGGGAGAAUAAGCCCCGGCUAACUUCGUGCCAGCCGCCGCCGUAA